rnacentral:rRNA from 1 species
AUUGAACGCUGGCGGCAGGCUUAACACAUGCAAGUCGAGCGGGGUGAUGGUGCUUGCACUAUCACUUAGCGGCGGACGGGUGAGUAAUGCUUAGGAAUCUGCCUAUUAGUGGGGGACAACAUCUCGAAAGGGAUGCUAAUACCGCAUACGUCCUACGAGAGAAAGCAGGGGAUCACUUGUGACCUUGCGCUAAUAGAUGAGCCUAAGUCGGAUUAGCUAGUUGGUGGGGUAAAGGCCUACCAAGGCGACGAUCUGUAGCGGGUCUGAGAGAAUGAUCCGCCACACUGGGACUGAGACACGGCCCAGACUCCUACGGGAGGCAGCAGUGGGGAGUAUUGGACAAUGGGGGGAACCCUGAUCCAGCCAUGCCGCGUGUGUGAAGAAGGCCUUAUGGUUGUAAAGCACUUUAAGCGAGGAGGAGGCUCUUUUGGUUAAUACCCAAGAUGAGUGGACGUUACUCGCAGAAUAAGCACCGGCUAACUCUGUGCCAGCAGCCGCCGUAA